AGCAAAUAAAGCGUUUCAGGUAUGAUAUAAAAAGAAAGAACAAAACUGGAAGUAAAAUCGUGUUCUAAGAGGAUAUGCUAAGAGCAGCUCGCAGGGCUUUUGCCCUUGUGGGAGACUGAAAGUCCCUGGAACAUGUCGACAGCAGUUGAGGUAGUUUCAUGGCAGGGUCAUCAUGGAUGUCCCUGGAAUACUGGCUGCAAGAGAGAAGAAUUCAGCUGACACUUCACACACUUUUAAGUAUUUCUUAACAUUACGUUAUAUUUUAACCCAUAAUCCGAAAUACAGAUCCAUGGCUCAUAGCAAAUAACAGUCACUAAUGGUUACAUAGCAUUAUUGAGCAAAUUUUUGUAAAUACUAAAAUACCAAGUAUUUAACUUUACCACUUGAUCUUACAUAUGCUUCACUGGCAGGUUGUCCACAGAGAAGAUGAAUCCUGACAAUCGUUCUUCUCAAAGAGAAUAGAGUCAGUGGUGCUUCUUUAGUCAAAGACAGUGUAUGGAAUGUCUGCGAUCUGAAACUGAGUAAAACUCAACUCUCUGCUGCACUUUGAACAACAGAUAAAUCCAGUCUUCCACUCUAUCUACUCUAUAAUGAUCUUCCCUAAGAGAUAAAUCAAUAAUUGCUAAGCUACAAAGACCAUUUUGUCGUAAAAUGGUAAUUAGCAUGGGUCUUGACCUCCCUCGUGGCAUCCCCCACUAACCCAUCUGAGGACCAGGGCAUGUCCAGAGUUGCCACUUAAUGACGCUAACAUUACACACUCGCUGAACAUUGUCGAGCUUUUGUCUUCAUUCACAUCGAAAUGAAGUUCUUGGGGCCCACGUUUAUCAAUCAUGGUGGGGCUCCAGCUGUUCGCCAGUCUUUGGCCUGACUUCAACAGCCGUGCUUACAAAUUGUCUCUGAAUAGCAUGGAGCACAACCCCCCUCCUUUUUUGUCACUCUCUGUUGACAAAUGUUCCUCUGCUGCUUUUCCCAGACAUGGCCGACCCUACCUUCUGCUCCUCACUAUUCAGGCAGGAUUUUGGGCCUCAUGUUCUUCCAGUGACAGAAGCCUGAUGAGCCACAAUGGAAUUGCUUCUGAGCAUCUACUGGCUCAUAGAGGUGUUGUUAGAUGAUAUUGUGGUAUUGUCAUUAUUUAGUGCCAAAGUCCAUAUUUUUUAUUACAAUAUAGAAUAUAGAUCAUAUUUAAUUGCAAAAAUGCUUUUUGAUGUAGUUGCUAGGUAAGCUGGGUAUGCUAAUGAACAUACUUCAAUUUGUAGAGCUAGUCUCCUUUUCUAUGCAUGUUCCAUUCCUCCAGAGUAGUCCAGAAAACAGUAGACUACAAAGCCAACAACUGUGAAAAUGUGGGUUUGCCCCAGAAGGAUGAAUGACGUACAGUUUCUCUUUCCUGCUGCUUUGAAAAGUGAAAUAAUUAAGAUAGAUGGACAGAUGAAUUAGUUGUCUUCCAAGGUCAAGUGCUGAUUGCCUUAUUACUCUAUUACCUCUCUGUUGUGAAACUGUUACCGCUGACACUUUUUCAUGAUAUUUGGUUCAUCCACAAAAGAAAGGGAGUGAGUGGGGGAGUGAGAGAGAUACAAAUUGAUUGUUUGGCGGCCAAAUCAGUCAUAGUCAUCUUCGGUGGAUGGAUUAAUGGGUUUGAUGGCUGUUGCAGGUUCAGGCAUGGAGACGCGCUGAGAACAAGAGAAAUUGGUUUGGGCCCCCGGGAGCUGAAUCGAUGUGAGUAGCAUUGCUUCUUGAAUAGGCCCUGAAAAGGUCAGCAGCUGUGACAAAAAUCAAAAUCCAUUUUCUGCAGCCAAAAUGUAAAUAGGACCAAACAUCGGAUGUUCCAUUCAUCUCAAUCAUUCUGGAGCCUUGGAAAUGCUCCAUGCCGCGUCUGUGUGAAAGAUGCCUCCAUCAGCAAAAUGGUGGUGACAGUCUGAGGGGAAUGAGCUCAUGAAGUGAUUACGAGAGCGGGUGGCAGUCAUUCAGACCCCUGAGAUGACAGCACAUCCACAGAGAAAGUGCCCGACUGGCAUUAAUCCCAGAGAAAAUCGCCAGCCUCCAGGAAUGCAUUGUGGGUCUGAUAAGAUGGUUGUUAUAAUAUGCACUUAAUCAGCAGGUCCCCAAUGAGUCUCCUGGUAUUUCCAAACUGGAGGGAGUCUUUGUGAGGGACCUGAAACAUCAAAGCCAAAUGACAGAGUCUUAUUAUCUUUUAAUGCAGAAUAUGGCAUUAUAGCUCUAUAUCUCAUCAUCCCCACAGCUAUCGAAUCAGCUAUCAAAGCAUCUACAGACUCAUUUCACUCACCUUCACAUCUCUCCAAUACACUGCAAAUAUUGAGGAAAUCUAUUUUAAAACCAUUGUCCUAAAAUUAACCACAGACUCACGUACUUUGUUAAUACUCGGUCUCUUCAAAUAAGUAAAAAUACACAGCUCUGGUCAGUAUCUGAUUAUAUUCACUCAACAUGCUGUCAGAGAAGAGCAAAGCAAACGCUUUUCACUCUGUCAUUAAGCAGUUUACAGGGGAAAUAUGGGCCUCACUGAGACCUGAGCAAUCUGGAGCAGCUUCACCCUCAUACACAGCACUCUCACUUUCAUAUACCGAGUCUUGCGUGUCUAGUUGAAGACUAGAAAUUCAGUGCUCACAGCAUCACAUUCCUGUUCCUGGCUAAGUGAAAGUGUGGUCUUCUGCAGUCUUGUAGCCCAUCCACCCCAAGAUCUGAUGCUUUGUGCAUGCUGAGAUGCUUUUCUGCUCACCCCAGUUAUAAAGAGUGAUCAUAUGAGUUAUUAUCUCCUUAUUAUAUCCUUCCUGACAUCUCUUGUAAACAAGGUGUUUCCACACAAAGGACUAUCACUAACUCAUUUUUUUCAUACCAUUCUGUAUAAACUAUAGUAUAUAGACUCUAGUGACUCUGUGUGAAAAUCCCAGGAGAUCAGCAGUUUAUAAAUUACUCAAACCUGCCUUUCUCUAUACCAUCAUCUAUGCCACAAUCAAAGUUACAGUUUUACAAUUUUUCUUCAUUCUGAUGUUUGAUGUGAACAUUAACUAAGCUUUUUACUUGUAUCUGCAUGAUUACUUGCAUUGAGCUGCUGCCACAUGAGUGGCUGAUUAGAUAACUACAUGAAUAUACAUGUGUACAGGUGUUCCUAACAAAGUGGACAGUGAUGCAUGUAUGUAUAUAUUGUUUUUUUUGAAUAUACA